rnacentral:rRNA from 1 species
UACGUAGGGGGCGAGCGUUGUCCGAAGUUACUGGGCGUAAAGAGCGCGUAGGCGGGUCUUUAAGUGAGUGGUGAAAGGUUCGGGCUCAACCCGGACACUGCCUUUCAUACUGGGGACCUUGAGUGCGGGAGGGGCGAGUGGAAUGGUCGGUGUAGCGGUGAAAUGCGCAGAUAUCAGGAGGAACACCAAUGGCGAAGGCAGCUCGCUGGGACGUGACUGACGCUGAGACGCGAAAGCGUGGGGAGCAAACAGG